GUGCAUAUGAGACACUUAACGCUACACUUGGCACUUAUGGUGGAAGCUCCAUCGAAGUUAAUACUUCAAUCGCGUAUUAUCCUCGAUUUUACUAUAGUAAAAUCGAGGAUAAUACGCGAUUGGCGUAUUAACUUCGAUUGAGCUUACCACCAUUAGUGAUAUUUUCCGGCUCCCGAACCGACAUAAAUUACUGCAAUGCGGUUUAAACAAACACGAAAAAACGCGAUCUAGUGCGGGUUUCAGUUUAAUUUAUCAACGGAAAGUUCGAAAUAUUGAAGUCAGUCCUCAUUAACAAAGAGUCGGCGAGUCGGUAUUUCAUUCACUUUGAUACGUACAAAAGCCUCAAAAAACGCAGGACGUAUGCCGCAUGGAGACUAUGGACAUAAAAGAAGCUGACUGCAGAAGCUGUUUCAACAAGAAUGUUCCUGAGAAGGCAUGAAGGGGACGUGAUGGGGUUUUAUCGCUGGUCGCAAGGAAGCUCAGGAGUGCCCAGGAGCCCGGACCUGGCAUACGAAAUCUAAUAAUUCUCUGGAGUGCAUCUUAACUUGGAAGACGGAGCAGCAAUGGAAGCGGGUGCAAUAAAAACCGACACAGAACUCGUCGGCCAAACAACUACCGGCAUACGCGAAACAAACUGCAGUAGGAUCUUUAUUUUGCACCGACCGAAAUGAUUAUCUGCGCUAAUCUCUGUUCAAUUCAGUUUGUGAUGUACAAUUAUUAUUUAAAGAAAUAUCAAAAUAAAAAUAA